GUGCUCACUUUGCCAGCUCAUAUAUUAAAAUUGGAAUUUUACAGAGAAGACAGCAUGGCCCCUGUACAAAGAUGACAUGCAAAUUCAUGCAGCUUUUCUUUUUUAA